rnacentral:lncRNA from 1 species
UAAUAGCAUCAUGCUUCUUGAUAACAUCAACAGGAGCAUGACCUAACCUUUUGUGCCAUACAUCUAUAGACUCAGAGUUUGUAACUGAGUUAACAAAACUAACAGAAGACUUGACAGUAGACUCAACAAAAUGAACAUGACUGCUACUCCUAUUGACCAGCUGUUUUGGAGCUUGACUUGGUCCUUCAUGUAGGAUAUAGAGUCCAUGCUCUUCUUUACCAAUCCCCUUCACCUGACCAGUGUAAAGGUCCUGAAACACACAAAAGUCAGG